GACGAACGCUGGCGGCGUGCUUAACACAUGCAAGUCGAGCGGUAAGGCCCUUUUGGGGGUACACGAGCGGCGAACGGGUGAGUAACACGUGGGUGACCUGCCCUCAGCUCUGGGAUAAGCCUGGGAAACUGGGUCUAAUACUGGAUAUGACCUUUCCUCGCAUGGGGUUGGGUGGAAAGUUUUUCGGCUGGGGAUGGGCCCGCGGCCUAUCAGCUCGUUGGUGGGGUGAUGGCCUACCAAGGCGACGACGGGUAGCCGGCCUGAGAGGGCGACCGGCCACACUGGGACUGAGACACGGCCCAGACUCCUACGGGAGGCAGCAGUGGGGAAUAUUGCGCAAUGGGCGGAAGCCUGACGCAGCGACGCCGCGU
rnacentral:rRNA from 1 species